rnacentral:rRNA from 1 species
GACGAACGCUGGCGGCGUGCUUAACACAUGCAAGUCGUACGGUAAGGCCCUUUCGGGGGUACACGAGUGGCGAACGGGUGAGUAACACGUGAGUAACCUGCCCACAACUUUGGGAUAACGCUAGGAAACUGGUGCUAAUACUGGACAUGUGCUCCUGCUGCAUGGUGGGGGUUGGAAAGCUCCGGCGGUUGUGGAUGGACUCGCGGCCUAUCAGCUUGUUGGUGGGGUAGUGGCCUACCAAGGCGGCGACGGGUAGCCGGCCUGAGAGGGUGACAGGCCACAUUGGGACUGAGAUACGGCCCAGACUCCUACGGGAGGCAGCAGUGGGGAAUAUUGCACAAGGGGCGCAAGCCUGAUGCAGCAACGCCGCGUGCGGGAUGACGGCCUUCGGGUUGUAAACCGCUUUCAGCAGGGACGAAGCUUUUUGUGACGGUACCUGCAGAAGAAGCACCGACUAACUACGUG